AUUGGACGCUGGCGGAAUGCUUUACACAUGCAAGUCGAGCGGCAGCGCGGGGGCGAACCCUCGGCGGCGAGCGGCGAACGGGUGAGUAAUACAUCGGAACGUGUCCUUAAGUGGGGGAGUAGCUCGGCGAAAGCCGGAUUAAUACCGCAUAAGCUCUGAGGAGGAAAGCGGGGGCUCCGUAAGGACCUCGCGCUGUUGGAGCGGCCGAUGUCGGAUUAGCUAGUUGGUGGGGUAAAGGCCCACCAAGG
rnacentral:rRNA from 1 species